rnacentral:rRNA from 1 species
AGAGUUUGAUCCUGGCUCAGGACGAACGCUGGCGGCGCGCCUAACACAUGCAAGUCGAACGAGCGAGAGAGAGCUUGCUUUCUCAAGCGAGUGGCGAACGGGUGAGUAACGCGUGAGGAACCUGCCUCAAAGAGGGGGACAACAGUUGGAAACGACUGCUAAUACCGCAUAAGCCCACGACCCGGCAUCGGGUAGAGGGAAAAGGAGCAAUCCGCUUUGAGAUGGCCUCGCGUCCGAUUAGCUAGUUGGUGAGGUAAUGGCCCACCAAGGCGACGAUCGGUAGCCGGACUGAGAGGUUGAACGGCCACAUUGGGACUGAGACACGGCCCAGACUCCUACGGGAGGCAGCAGUGGGGAAUAUUGCACAAUGGGGGAAACCCUGAUGCAGCGACGCCGCGUGGAGGAAGAAGGUCUUCGGAUUGUAAACUCCUGUUGUUGAGGAAGAUAAUGACGGUACUCAACAAGGAAGUGACGGCUAACUACGUGCCAGCAGCCGCGGUAAAACGUAGGUCACAAGCGUUGUCCGGAAUUACUGGGUGUAAAGGGAGCGCAGGCGGGAAGACAAGUUGGAAGUGAAAUCUAUGGGCUCAACCCAUAAACUGCUUUCAAAACUGUUUUUCUUGAGUAGUGCAGAGGUAGGCGGAAUUCCCGGUGUAGCGGUGGAAUGCGUAGAUAUCGGGAGGAACACCAGUGGCGAAGGCGGCCUACUGGGCACCAACUGACGCUGAGGCUCGAAAGUGUGGGUAGCAAACAGGAUUAGAUACCCUGGUAGUCCACACCGUAAACGAUGAUUACUAGGUGUUGGAGGAUUGACCCCUUCAGUGCCGCAGUUAACACAAUAAGUAAUCCCACCUGGGGAGUACGACCGCAAGGUUGAAACUCAAAGGAAUUGACGGGGGCCCGCACAAGCAGUGGAGUAUGUGGUUUAAUUCGACGCAACGCGAAGAACCUUACCAAGUCUUGACAUCCUGCGACGAUGCUGGAAACAGUGUUUUCCUUCGGGACGCAGAGACAGGUGGUGCAUGGUUGUCGUCAGCUCGUGUCGUGAGAUGUUGGGUUAAGUCCCGCAACGAGCGCAACCCUUACUGUCAGUUACUACGCAAGAGGACUCUGGCAGGACUGCCGUUGACAAAACGGAGGAAGGUGGGGAUGACGUCAAAUCAUCAUGCCCUUUAUGACUUGGGCUACACACGUACUACAAUGGCGAUAAACAAAGAGAAGCAAGACCGCGAGGUGGAGCAAAACUCAGAAACAACGUCCCAGUUCGGACUGCAGGCUGCAACUCGCCUGCACGAAGUCGGAAUUGCUAGUAAUCGUGGAUCAGCAUGCCACGGUGAAUACGUUCCCGGGCCUUGCACUCACCGCCCGUCA